rnacentral:tRNA from 1 species
AAAUGGGUAAGCAAUUUGACUACUAAUCAAAAGGUUGGUGGUUUGAACCCACCCCAAGUUA